rnacentral:lncRNA from 1 species
CAGUGAAGACUCAGAUGAUGGUUAUCAUUUUGGGGCAAUAAAGUAUUUUCAAAUUAAGAUGCAUGAAUAUCUCUGUAUGAAGUCACUUUCUAGGGAAUGACAAUAUCACCAUUCAUAGAUAUGCACCAUCAAACUCAGCUACUUUGAUUCCAGAU